GAUGAGCCAAGAUUGGUGCCCUUUAAGGCACUACAUAGUAUUAAACUGAAGAGUUUGAUCAUGGCUCAGAUUGAACGCUGGCGGCAGGCUUAACACAUGCAAGUCGAGCGGGGAAGAGUAGCUUGCUACAUUACCUAGCGGCGGACGGGUGAGUAAUGCUUAGGAAUCUGCCUAUUAGUGGGGGACAACAUCUCGAAAGGGAUGCUAAUACCGCAUACGUCCUACGGGAGAAAGCAGGGGACCUUCGGGCCUUGCGCUAAUAGAUGAGCCUAAGUCGGAUUAGCUAGUUGGUGGGGUAAAGGCCUACCAAGGCGACGAUCUGUAGCGGGUCUGAGAGGAUGAUCCGCCACACUGGGACUGAGACACGGCCCAGACUCCUACGGGAGGCAGCAGUGGGGAAUAUUGGACAAUGGGGGGAACCCUGAUCCAGCCAUGCCGCGUGUGUGAAGAAGGCCUUUUGGUUGUAAAGCACUUUAAGCGAGGAGGAGGCUACCGAGAUUAAUACUCUUGGAUAGUGGACGUUACUCGCAGAAUAAGCACCGGCUAACUCUGUGCCAGCAGCCGCGGUAAUACAGAGGGUGCAAGCGUUAAUCGGAUUUACUGGGCGUAAAGCGCGCGUAGGUGGCCAAUUAAGUCAAAUGUGAAAUCCCCGAGCUUAACUUGGGAAUUGCAUUCGAUACUGGUUGGCUAGAGUAUGGGAGAGGAUGGUAGAAUUCCAGGUGUAGCGGUGAAAUGCGUAGAGAUCUGGAGGAAUACCGAUGGCGAAGGCAGCCAUCUGGCCUAAUACUGACACUGAGGUGCGAAAGCAUGGGGAGCAAACAGGAUUAGAUACCCUGGUAGUCCAUGCCGUAAACGAUGUCUACUAGCCGUUGGGGCCUUUGAGGCUUUAGUGGCGCAGCUAACGCGAUAAGUAGACCGCCUGGGGAGUACGGUCGCAAGACUAAAACUCAAAUGAAUUGACGGGGGCCCGCACAAGCGGUGGAGCAUGUGGUUUAAUUCGAUGCAACGCGAAGAACCUUACCUGGUCUUGACAUAGUAAGAACUUUCCAGAGAUGGAUUGGUGCCUUCGGGAACUUACAUACAGGUGCUGCAUGG
rnacentral:rRNA from 1 species